rnacentral:rRNA from 1 species
CAGCCGUAAACGAUGCGCGUUAGGUGUAUCGACGACCACGAGUCGUCGAGGUGCCGAAGGGAAACCGUGAAACGUGCCGCCUGGGAAGUACGGUCGCAAGGCUGAAACUUAAAGGAAUUGGCGGGGGAGCACCGCAACGGGAGGAGCGUGCGGUUUAAUUGGAUUCAACGCCGGGAAUCUCACCGGAUAAGACAGCUGAAUGAUAGUCGGGAUGAAGACUCUACUUGACUAGCUGAGAGGUGGUGCAUGGCGUAGUCGUGU